UAUAGAGGCGUUUUCCGUGCCGGACCGUGUCCAAGUCUCCUGGAAAGGAGUAUCAAAGAGGGUGAUAAUCCCGUACUUAACACGACCACCGGUGCUCUGUAAUACGUCUUCUACGAGUCGAGUUGUUUGGGAAU
rnacentral:rRNA from 1 species